rnacentral:rRNA from 1 species
UUGAAAGGGAAACGAUUGAAGUCAGUCAUACCAACGGGAAAUCAACCUUUUGAGCUUGGUCUCGUGGGUUUUGAAGAGUUUCAAAGCCUUCAGAUUCGCGGGAUUGGGAUCUCUUGGUGUACUUUUUCGUACGGUUAGUCAACAUCGGUUUUGAAUGUCAUAAAAUGACUGGAGGAAUGUAGCUUCGAUCUCGUAUUGAAGUGUUAUAGCCUUUGGUAGAUGUGAUGUUUGAGACCGAGGAUUGCAACGGAUACCUCUGGGGCUAGCCGCCUGAUCUCUAAUCGGUGUUGGGUUACGGAUAGCAUGCUGACCGNNNUCUAAUUACUGGUUAAAAGGUUAGAGCGUGCAUAAAUUCGUUAAGGAUGUUGACGUA